AAUGAACGUUGGCGGCGUGGAUUAGGCAUGCGAGUCGUGCGAGAACCGUAGCAAUACGGGGCAGCGGCGAAAGGGAGAGGAACACGUGGAUACCUACCCUCAGGUUCGGGAUAGCUAUGGGAAACUAUAGGUAAUACUGAAUAAUAUCUCCGGAUCAAAGGUGUGAUUCCGCCGGAGGAGGGGUCCGCGUCCUAUUAGCUAGUUGGUGAGGUAAUGGCUCACCAAGGCGAAGAUGGGUACGGGAUGUGAGAGCAUGAUCCCGCUCAUUGGGACUGAGACACUGCCCAGACACCUACGGGUGGCUGCAGUCGAGAAUCUUCGGCAAUGGGGGGAAACCCUGACCGAGCGAACGCCGGCGUGUGAGAUGAAGGCCCUUCGGUUGUAAUCACUGUCGUAGAGGAGG
rnacentral:rRNA from 1 species